rnacentral:lncRNA from 1 species
UGAUUGUGAAAAAAAAAUCAAUCACAAAAAAUACAGAAAAAUGAUUAAAAAAAUGCGAUUAAGCAUUUAAAAUACAUAACAAUCUAAUCUAGUUUACAUACCUGCAGAAUAAGUGGAAUGAUCUACAAAAAAAAAAAGAACAAAUUCUAAGAAACUUGAAAAUUAAUGUGAUUGUCGAAAAUUAUGGAAACUAACACAAAAUUUGGAAGCAAUUAAAACUUUAAUAUAAGUUAUCUUGAUAAAUUUGGAAAUACGUUACAAUUUAGACAACUUUGAUAAGUAUCCAUAAUUGAUAUAAAUUUCAAAAAUUCAAAUUUUGAAAUAAUCAGUAAAAACAAUUUACCUAAAGAACGAUAAAGAAGACUCAAAAUAACACCAAAUCUAUGGAAAACGAACCUGCUUGCAAUCGAUUGGAAGAAUGAUCAGCUCU